rnacentral:rRNA from 1 species
AAACCAGCACCUCAAGUGGUCAGGAGGAUUAUUGGGCCUAAAGCAUCCGUAGCCUGCUCUGUAAGUUUUCGGUUAAAUCUGUACGCUUAACGUACAGGCUGCCGGGAAUACUGCAGAACUAGGGAGUGGGAGAGGUAGACGGUACUCGGGAGGAAGUGGUAAAAUGCUUUGAUCUCUCGAUGACCACCUGUGGCGAAGGCGGUCUACCAGAACACGUCCGACGGUGAGGGAUGAAAGCUGGGGGAGCAAACCGGAUUAGAAACCCGAGUAGUCC